rnacentral:rRNA from 1 species
UACGGGGGGAGCAAGCGUUGUUCGGAUUUACUGGGCGUAAAGGGUGCGUAGGCGGGUCUUUAAGUCAGGGGUGAAAUCCUGGAGCUCAACUCCAGAACUGCCUUUGAUACUGAAGAUCUUGAGUUCGGGAGAGGUGAGUGGAACUGCGAGUGUAGAGGUGAAAUUCGUAGAUAUUCGCAAGAACACCAGUGGCGAAGGCGGCUCACUGGCCCGAUACUGACGCUGAGGCACGAAAAGCGUGGGGGAGCAAAACAGGAUUAGAAAACCCC